AGUGAACGCUGGCGGUAGGCCUAACACAUGCAAGUUGAACGGCAGCACAGUAAGAGCUUGCUCUUACGGGUGGCGAGUGGCGGACGGGUGAGGAAUACAUCGGAAUCUACUUUUUCGUGGGGGAUAACGUGGGGAAACUUACGCUAAUACCGCAUACGACCUACGGGUGAAAGCAGGGGAUCUUCGGACCUUGCGCGAUUGAAUGAGCCGAUGUCGGAUUAGCUAGUUGGCGGGGUAAAGGCCCACCAAGGCGACGAUCCGUAGCUGGUCUGAGAGGAUGAUCAGCCACACUGGAACUGAGACACGGUCCAGACUCCUACGGGAGGCAGCAGUGGGGAAUAUUGGACAAUGGGCGCAAGCCUGAUCCAGCCAUACCGCGUGGGUGAAGAAGGCCUUCGGGUUGUAAAGCCCUUUUGUUGGGAAAGAAAAGCAGCAGGUUAAUACCCCGCUGUUCUGACGGUACCCAAAGAAUAAGCACCGGCUAACUUCGUG
rnacentral:rRNA from 1 species